rnacentral:misc_RNA from 1 species
CCCAUCUUCGCGAGGUCUAAAACUAAUCAUCAUGCUCAGGUCCUUUGCAGUUGCAGCAAUCAAGUAAUUCCUCACAAUCUUCAUGCUUUCGUCAUUCGAGAUUGAAUGCAAAGAACUGUAUCUUUCUGACAAUUGAUCUUCAGCUGAUAGUUUAUUGCAUACCGCGCAUGGUUGGGAAAUGACAUUGUAAUAUGCAUGAAUUGCACCUUCAAUGUCAGCAUUGUCUAACUUCUGGACUUCAAGAACCUUAUUUAGCAGUCCUGAACUAAAAAUGGUCUUGGAAAUGAGAUCUAGGAAGCAUUGGGUCCGCUGUCCAUCUACAGCUUGAAUUACACACUUCAGUGCAUUUUCAAAUGUUUCACCAACUUCACAGCUUGUAGCGUCUGCAUUACCACCUAAACCCCCUAAUAUGAGAGAACCAUUCAGGAAAACUCGGAAAUUGUUCUGUGGGGUCUCGAAAAGGCCCUUUAUUGCUUUGUGUACCCUAUCACUGGAUCCAGAAAACAAAUCCAAUGGAUCAUAUGCACUUAUCUCUGAUAUCUUUCCUUGGUGCAAUUUUAAAGCCUGAUGCAUCUUGAAACGAGUUACAGUCCUUUUAAUACUGUUCUCUGAUGCAAUAAAUUCUGAAAGCGGAAGAAAUCCGCAUUUAGGCUUUAUUUCAACAGAUAUACAGAAGUCUUCUUUAAGUGCACCACGCGGGAAAAGCGAAUGAUCAGAUAUCAGCAGUACAGAAUCACACAGGGGGUUGACCAUAGCGGCAUCAACACGCCAAGAAGGACGCUGACAUAGAACAUUGUUAUCAACUGUUUCCAGAAAUUCUCGGGUCACAGGGAUGUAAAUCCCUGCAUCAACAUUCUUCGAACCUAACAGCGAGCACAUCACAUGCUGCACAAAACAGUAUUCAGCCAUUUCUUUUGUAGGAGCUGAUACCAGCUCUUCGAAUUCUUUCCACAUGAGGCGUUCCAACUCGGUUAGACCUGGAUGACCAUUCUCGCGUUGAGAUCCAUUCUUUGGUACCUUCUGUACCCGCAACACUUUUCCAACAAAAUCAGGAUGUUCUCCACUAUAAGCAAGCACUAGAUUGACAGCUCCUUCUCCUCUAUAACACCAUUCUCGAGCAUCAUUCGCCUG